rnacentral:rRNA from 1 species
CUACGGGCGGCAGCAGUGGGGAAUAUUGGACAAUGGAGGAAACUCUGAUGCAGCAACGCCGCGUGGAGGAUGACACUUUUCGGAGCGUAAACUCCUUUUAUAUAGGAAGAAGAUGACGGUACUAUAUGAAUAAGCGCCGGCUAACUCCGUGCCAGCAGCCGCGGUAAUACGGAGGGCGCAAGCGUUACUCGGAAUCACUGGGCGUAAAGCGCGUGUAGGCGGAUUAAAAAGUCAGAAGUGAAAUCCUAUAGCUUAACUAUAGAACUGCUUCUGAAACUCUUAAUCUAGAAUAUGGGAGAGGUAGAUGGAAUUUCUGGUGUAGGGGUAAUAUCCGUAGAGAUCAGAAGGAAUACCGAUUGCGAAGGCGAUCUACUAGAACAUUAUUGACGCUGAGACGCGAAAGCGCGGGGAGCAAACAGGAUUAGAUACCCUAGUAGUC